GCAACUGAAAACAUUAAUAAAAGGGCAUCAUAAGAAUGCUCAUCCUUUCAUGAAUAAAAAAUUAUAAACUGUCAAAAUUUAAUGUUUAGUGAGGCAAUAUAAUACUGUUUACAAAUACAAGAAUUUUCAUGAAAAACGGGUCUCCUCCCACAGCCCUUCAGUUACCCAGAGACAUCAACUUUCAGCCUUUUUAACAGCUGCUUUUAAGAUUCACCUCCAUUAUUUCAAAAUAUUUCAAAAUUCAUAAAUUAUCUUUUUUCCAUAAAUUGUUAUUUCUUGAUCUAUUUCACACAUUCUCCAUUAUCUUCCUGCUAGGUAUCUUUUCUAUCUUCCCAAUACUGUUACUUUUAGCUAGUUCAAUCUUAUCAAUAUCGAUAUCAUUCUUACCCAUGACAUUAUGAUUUCCUAUCUUUUCUUAUACAACCUCUUAUUUUUCUCUAAUAAUUGCCAUAUGUUUCUGAUGGCUCAGUUCUCUAUGCAUCAUCAAUAAUUUAGCCCUUCUUUUUUCUUCCACAUUUAUACACCUCUUCCCAGUUGGUCAUGAAACACACUAUAGGUAAUUAUCAAUACCACACACGUCCCUCUUAGGCUUUUAGGUCCUUGGUGCUCAAGCUCCAGUGUGUACCACUGACUACCUAGGCCCCACAGAGCUGACGUUCUCUCCAGUAGGACUCUCCUAUUUUCCAGGUCCCAUACAUAAGGUACACUUCCUUGUUUUGGUGGUUAUAUCCUGCAAUUUCUUAAGAACUACAUAUGGGAGGCAAAUUUCUUGAGGCUUUUUAUAUUUGAGUAUUAUAUUUUCAAGGUUAUUGAUUUUUUGAAAAUAUACAUAAUUUUAGAUUAGAAAUAAUUUUCCUUCACAAUUAUGUAAUUCUGAUUCCUGCUCCUUUGAAUGUGAACUGUGUUUUUUCCCUCUCUUGGAGCUUUUAGGUUCUUUUUUGUUCUUGAGGUUCUACAGUUUCACCAUGGAACUUUCAGAAUCCAUUGUAUUAUAAUUUUUUUUAUUACCAGAUUGGAAACUUUCUUUUUAAGUUUAUUUAUUUGUUUUCAGAUAGCGCGUGCAGAUAAGCGGGGGAGGAGCAGAGAAAAUCACAAUCAGUGCAGAGCCCCAUACGGGGCUCAAACUCACAAACCGUGAGAUCGUGACCUGAGCUGGAAUCAAGAGUCGAAGGUGGGGUCCCUGGGUGGCUCAGUCAGUUAAGUGUCCAACUCUUGAUUUCAGCUCAGGUUCGUGAGUUCGAGCUCCACACUGUCAGUGAGGAGCCUGCUUGGGAUUCUCUCUGUCUCAAAAUAAAUAAGUAAAAACUUUAAAAAAAUAAAAAUUCAUGUUCUUUAAUACUGGAAAUUUAUCUUACUAUCUUUUUUCUACUUUGUAUUAUCUCUAUUUCAUCUAGGUUCCUUUUUUUCCUGCUUAUUUAGGUCUAUCUUUCAUGUUAGAGAUGUUGUCAAAUGCCUGAUCAUCCUGGUUCUGUUCUUAAAGAAUGGAGUAUUAAAAAUGACUGGAAGAUCUAUACACAUUAUGUAAGAGGGAGGUCUUGAAGCUUGUGGCUUAGAGGUCAUGUGGACUGAGUACAGCCUUUGCAACAAUAUUGGUGGGCCACAACGAGUAAAGUGUACAUUUCAUCUCUUGAGCUAGUUAGUUUUUCAAAAGGGAGGUUCUCCCACCAGCAAUCUGGGAGCAAAGGACCUGGAGGAUGUGACCAUUCAGCAUAAAAAAUUCCUGUUUUCAGUAAGGCACUACAACACCACCAUCAGUUGGAUCUGAUGUCCUUGAAUCCAAAGACCCGCCCCUGGUUCAGCCACUCCAGAGUAAAUCCUUCCUGUGUGUCCAAAUGUGAGAGAGGCAGUCAUUUGCUCAAUUUGAUGUAAGGAAUCUGGGGUUCUAAAUACUCUUAAUAGAAACACUCAAGUCUCCUUGUUUUUAGUCCCAUCCUACACACUAGUCUAAGGGGGACCUCCAAUUUCUGAGGUUUUCUGAGAGUUCUUUGGAGAAUCAUGUUGAUUCUUGUGGGCUUCCCCCACCUACAGGAAAGCAAGUUUUAGCUUUCCCUGUUCUGUUAGUCCCUUUACAUUGGUUGAUAAGCUUUCUACUUUCCACAGUUCUAUAAUCAUCCUUCUGCUGCCAUCCCUCUCCAAUUUUGUUUUCAAAAUCUUCAUACAUUUUUAUGUUCCUUCACAAUAAUUUUAGGAAGUUUAGGGAGGGACCAGAGUUAAAUGUGUUCAAACAGCCUUAUUUAACCAAUAAUCUUGUUAAGUACUUUUGGAAACAGUGUGCAGGAUGUUGAAAAUACACAAUAAACACAUUCUUAGCUACUCAUAUUUUUAAAAAGCCUUACUGAGGUAGAGUUGAUGUACAAAAAACUAUACAUAUUUCAUUUAUAAAAUCUGAUGAGUUUGGACAUAUGCAUAUACCCAUGAUACCAUCACCACAGUCAAGGUAAUAAACAUAUAUCAUCACCUCCAAAAGUUUCCUUGCGUCCCUUUGUGGGUUUUUGUGGCUACUCAAAUUUGAUUGGUAAUUACACUAACAGAUUUCUUCCUUAUCCUUCUUUGAUUUAAGGUUGGUUGGAACAAGGCUUAAAACACUUAAAUAGCACUUUCAUGUACACAAAAAUUGGAAGCCCAACCACAAAAAUAUAAAUGCUACAAAUGGAUUUUCCACUAUAAUAACCAACACUCAUGUUUUUACUAGAUAUUCUGAUAUAUGACUUGCAUAAUUCUUAUUGUAAAUACUGGUUUUAACAUCCUCUGUUUUGAGGAAGGCAUAGAUUUCACUUCUCAAAAACAAAGCAAACCAUUCAGGACCUACCACAUGCGAGGCAUUAUACCAGUACCAGAAGAGGACAGAACAAUGAACACAACGGUUCAGAAAAACAGUGAAAAAUAAAACUAAAAAGGUAGAUCGAAGCUAUACUGUGAAGGCUCAGAACUUCACACUAAGACAUUUGGACUUUAUAAUAACAAUAAAUUAUAUUUAAUUUGUUUGACCAAGUCUUAAAAUGAGUGACUCUAUAAUUUGUUAUGUUACAUAAAAUCAGAAAAUUACUUUUCUUACAGUAAUUUAGGCUGGAUUCCAUAUGGGGUGGAAACAGUAAGGGAGUGAAGAAAAUGACUACCAAAAAAUUAGAACACUUUCAAAACAAAAACUUUCACUACUCUCUUUUUUUAGGGAGGUAAUACCAUAUAAUGAAGAAAACAUUACUGGACUAGAAGAUAGGAGACUUGUGUUCUUGGUUGAACUCAGCUAGCCUAUUCACAUCAGUUCCUUUGGAAAACAGCUAUUAAUAUCCCUGUGAUCAAGAUUACUGUAAAAGUCACUGUGUUCAUGACAUCACUUACCACUCUGACAUAUCACUGACUAUCUACAGAAUGAAUAGAGAAUACAUGGCAAUCUAAACAAGGAAGAUGAGAAAACAUAAAUAUAGGUGUUGUAUCAAUGCUAAUGAUUACUUUUGAUAUAAUGAUUAACUUGAUAAAAAAAGGUUUUUUUGACGUCUUUAUUUUUGACAGAGAGACAGAGAGAGUGCUAGCAGGGGAGGGGCAGAGAGAGACAAGAGACACAGAAUCCAAACCAGGCUCCAGGCUCUAAGCUGUCAGCACAGAGCCUGAGGCAGGGCUCGAACUCACCAACCUUGAGAUCAUGACCUGAAGAGAAGUCGGACUCUUAACUGACUGAGCCCCCAGGCACCCCAAUAUAAUGGUUACUUUAUAUUCUAUAUAGCUUAAACUUUGGAAUUGAGAAAGAUGUUCUACUUGUGUUUAUCCUUUAUUUCUUGGUUUUAUUAUAUAUUCUGACCCCUAUCAAUAACUUUUUAAAAUUAUGCCUGAGAUCAAAAGUAUUUCUAAAGUGAAAAGAAAUAACAGAAGAAUUAGAGAACUAUAGUAAGCAUGCAUAUUUUUGCAUUUUGACAAAAUCUACCGUUAUUUAUCUUAAAGAAUGCAAAUUGGGGAUGAAUAAUUCAAUUAGAACUUUAAAAUUUUAAUCAAAUAAAUCACUUUUGUCCUUUAUGAUUUCCUUUAUCCUUCUAUUAUAUUCCCUUCUACAAGUUUGUCAACCAUUAUUUUUUUGGUCAAACAUUAUAUUUUGUUUCAAUAAUUUGACUUUCUGUAUUUAAUCACCUGAAGAUUGCCUUGGUAUUUGGUAUAAGGAUCUAAAUAUAUUUUUCUUCAGAUGAUUAGUAAUAUUAUAUUAUGACUUUAUAAAUAACCAAACCUUUUCCUUCUCCCUAUUUAGUAUAUAUUAAUUCCUAACAAGAUCUAUUCCCUAGUUGUUGAUUCAACUCCAUUAACUAGUAUAUUUUUAUACCACUGACAGACUAUCUUAACUAUUAGUUUUCUAGUUUUUAAAAGAGUUGGUCCUUGCUUAUCACUAUUUUCAUCCAAAGUUUUCUAUGUUAUUUCUCUUUGCUCAUCCAAGUUAACAUUAUAUUGUCAAGUUCAGAAAAGAUCCGGUUAGUAUUUUAGUGAAAAUUGCAUCAAAUAUGAAAAUAAAUGAUAUUUUAAGUAUCACUGCGGAAGCUCAAUUACAUUUAACUUUUCCAAUCAAGAACACUUAAUUUUUUUUCAAUAAUACAAAUGAAAAUAAUUCUACCUAAGGUUCUACUUUCUACAUAAGGUUAUUUACAGAUAUUUAGUAUUUUGAAAUACUUUUAAUCACUUUUAAUCACUUCUUAUUUGGCUGACCUAUAGGACCAUUUCCUACUUUUAUUUAAUCACUUUGCUCCUUUCUUAAAAAUUAGCCACUUCAAGGCAAUACAUUUGUUUAAUAUACUUGUUAAAAAAAGAAUCAACGAAAGGAAAUUAGCAUUUCAAAAAAGAGCCAAAGACUUUUUUUUUAACAGAAGAAAACAGUGCAGAAGAACAACAACUGUUUUGUGAAAUACAGGUUUCUCCAUCACCUACUUUUUCCAGUUGCCAUUUUCCCAGAGUUCUUGGUCACCAAAACCCUCACCAAAAAACCACAUUUUUUGCUAGAUGAGGGUUCCCCAAAUCAGGUAACUUCAAAAGCCUCCAAUGAGUAGACCUUAACUCCUGUUUUGACCCCACAAAUGCCCUCACCUAUUCAGGAUAUUCUAAGAGCCACAGAUGUCUGAAAGUCUAUUCAUUCUCCCAGGCAACCCUCAAAAAGGUUGAUAUUCAUGUAUUUCUGGCAGAUACGAAAUUCCUUCACGGCUUGUAGAAUGCCACUGUUUUCCUGGUUUUAUCCUUGGUGGUUUUCCUUUUCUACAGCUUUCUUUUAGUCUGCUCCUCACAAAUUAUGGUGCUUAUCAGGGUUCUCUCCUUGGUACUUUGUUAUAUUAUAUCUACAAUAUGAAAGACUUUAUUUCUGUUCAAGUCUUCCAAAUACAAAACCCUCAAUAAAUCUUUACCUCUCGCCUCGAUAACAAAAUGUCUGAAACAACCACAUUCCAUAUUCCUUCCAAUUCUAAUCCCACUUAAAACCGAAUUGAGAGGCAUUAGAAGAAAGCAUCAAGUAUACUGUCCCUGUCUCUGAAAUAUUAAAUAAAGAAAAUUUUACUAUGGCACACACCCAUUUGUGUCUCUGUAGUAAACCUGUUGACAAUUUAUAGAAACAGCUAACAAGGUACACUUACAGAGUGCUGGAGUUAGUGAAAAUAGAAAAUGAAAUCUGCUGUUCAAAAUCUACAAUACUCUUUAAGUAUGUACAAAUCAGAAUUAUAUGACUGAUUAAAUCUAAUACAACAAACAUAAGCCUUCCUCCAUCUUUCUCUAACAACAUGUACUCUAAACAACCAAUUCAUUUAUUUGCUUUCUGUAGCCAUACUGAAAAAGAAAGUAUACCAUUAUUACUUUUUAAUCAGUCUUAUACUGUUGUGAUUUUAUUUUCAGUUAACAAUUUACACUAGUUCGAAAACUCAUCUCAACCUGGAACUCACAGGGUAUGCCUUUGUGGAACAUAAGGAAAUUCUGCCAUUUGACUCUACUGCAUGUAUAAGAAAAAGACCUUCAACUUUUCAAACAGACCUUAUAUACAUGCUGGAUGAGGGAAAACAUGUACUGAGAACUACCUACCAUCCUUCAGACACUCUUCUUGGCAUUGUGGAUACAAAGCUAAUCUUGACCCUCGGCAGUCAAGCUGGUGAGAUAUGUGAACAAAUAAAUAUCCACCAAGGCAAAAUCACAGUUCAGUGGGAAUAAAAAUGCUGUAACUAACUCUGAUUGGUGUGUGGAAUGAAAAGUGAGGGAAAUAUACAUAAGCACAGCAGAUUAAAUAUAUACUCUAUUUCAGGAAUUGAGAAGCUUGAUGUGGAGAUAGCCUAAAAGUGAAAGAAGGAGAAGUAUUCAAGGAGGAAAGAAGGUAAGGCUACCUGGGAUCAGACUGUAAACAUAAUAAAAUUUGAACUCAUUCUGCAGGCCACUGUUCCCUGUGCUGGCUACAUAAGGACCAGCUAAGAAAUUUGGUAAAAAUACAGAUCCCUCAGCUGUGUCUCUGGAGACUGUGAAAUAUCCCAGACAAUUCUUGGUACACCUGGAAUUAGAACUACUAUAAUAGGGAGCACAGACAUGAGGAGAUUUGAUAUACAGUCUACUUUUGCAGUAUGGAGGCCAAGAGUCUGAAAAGGGGACAAACUGGUAGUAGUUUACUGAAGUUUUAAAAAAGCAGAUUUGAGGCACAUUUCUGAGGUAGAACUAUAAGAACUUGGUAAUCACCAAGAAUAUUUUGAAGUGAUAAGGAAAAAGAAUUAAAAAUGAUUCCCAGGCAUGGGGCACCUGAGUGGCUCAGUUGGUUAAGCAUCUGACUUCAGGUCAGGCCAUGAUCUCACAGUUCCUGGGUUCAAGCCCUGCGUCGGGCUCUGAGGUGACAGCCCAAACCCUGGAACUUGCUUCAGAUUCUGUGUCUCCCUCUCUCUCUGCCCCAGUUACACUCUGUCUCUCAAAAAUGAAUAAACAUUAAAAAAAAAAAAAAAACUAAAAAAAAAAAAAGAUUCCCAGGCUUACUGCUUGAGAGUCUUUACAUAACAUCAGAAGAUUUUUACAAGUCCUAACCUAAGACAGAAGAUUUACCCUAUGUUAAGCCAAACACAGUCAAAUGAGGACUAUGUUCAAAAUACACAACUUUUGAGAUGACCAGUUAUUUAUUUUGCUUACUGGCAUUUAUCUAUAUGCCUGUUUCCAUCUCAAUUUUAAUCUUUCACUUUUAUGUUAAAAUGGGUUAGAAUCCUAGUUAAAUUUUGUUCAUUUAAAAAUCUUCAUUUCGACUAUCAGGAGAUGAUUACAAUUUUUGAGGAAUACAAAAAUAAAAUUUAAUCCUAGACAGCUUUUGAGGAAAAUUUAAAAUUUAAAUAUUCCCUAAGAGUUUAAAAUGGAAAGAAGGCAGGAGGAAAAAGAGAUAGAGGGCAGAAAGGAAAAAAACCCUAAAUAUUUUAUUAAUCCUAUUUUAUACAAGAUACAGAUUGAAAUAUUCACAGAAACAUACUGUAAAGCUAUAAAGGGGGGUGCCUGGCUGGCUCAAUCAGUGGAGUAUGUGACUUUGAUCUCAAGGUUGUGAGUUCAAGCCCCAUGUUGGGUAUAGAGAUUACCUAAAAUAUAAAAUUAAAAAAAAAUUGGGGGGGGGAGCCUGGCUUAAUUGAUGGAACAUACAACCCUUGAUCUUGGGGUUCUAAGUUCAAGCCCCAUGUUGGGUACAGCAUUUACUUAAAAAAACAAUACAAAAAAAAUUUUUUAACAUUUAUUUAUUUUUGAGAGACAGAGACCGAGAACCAGCAGGGGAGGAGCAGAUGGAGAGAGAGAGAGAGAGAGAGAGAGAGAGAGAGAGAGAGAGAAUCUAAAGCAGGCUUCAGGCUCUGAGCUGUCAGCAGAGCCCGACACGGGGCUUGAACCCAUGAACCAUGAGAUCCUGACCUGAGCCAAAGUUGGAGGCUUAACUGACUGAGCCACCCAGGUAGGCUCCCAAAAAUAAAUAAUUUUUUAAAAAGCUAUAAAGAAUUAAAAACCUCUCCCUAGUGCAUAGAAAAUGAACAUACUAUAGAACCAGAAAAGGAACCAAAUCUACAUACAAUAGGGACAACUUAAGUUUUUCAAAUCUGUAAUAAGGGCUGUGUUUUAUUUACCUGUAUAUCCUCCAAAGUAUUAAACAGUUUCUUGGAAUGAGUAGUGGUAGUAAAACAGUAAGAGCAAUUGUAAUGAAAACUAACAUUGAAAUGAGCACAUACUACAGGACACCCACGUUCUUUUUUAUUUGUUUGUUUGUUUGUUAUGAGAGAGAGAGCACAAGCGGGGGUCGGGCAGAGAGGGGAACAGAGGAUCUAAAGCAGGCUCUGUGCUGACAGCAGAAAGCCUGAUGCGGGGCUUUAAUUCAUGAACCCUGAGAUCAUGACCUGAGCUAAAGUCUGACGCUUAACCAACUGAGCUACCCAGGUGUCCCAAGACACCCACAGUUCUAAAGAAUUUUAGAAACGUUAACUUAUUCCUUAUGAGUUAUUAAUAUUAUUAAUUUUUCAGUUGAAAAAAUGGAGGCACAGUGAAAUGAAGUAAUUUGACCAAAAUCCCAAAGCUAGUAAAUGACAGAGCAGGAAUUUUAAUCUGGGCAGUUUGGCUCCAGAGUCAGCAUCCUUAACCACUAUACUGUGUAUCCACUUAGGCAUAAAUAUUUAUAAAAUUGGUUACAUUUAUACUUAGAAUAUAAAAGGCAAUGAAGAUUCUGUAUUUGGAAAAGUCAACGCAGAGUUUACAUUCUUAAUGUAGGUAUCAAUUCACAUAGAUCAACCAGAAGGCAACAUGUCUACCUUUCUGCCCUGUGCAUUAUCUCAAGGUAAUAUGCAUCAUUUAUGCCUUCCUUUUUCAGUUCCAUUACGUUUAUUUCUUACAUAGUAAAGCUACUUCUAAAAAAGCAACAUGUAUAACAGAACACAAUCUAUAAUUUACAGAAAUUAAUCAUUAAGUUUGAAAAUAAUAAUAGAUCAAUUGGACAUAAUGCUAUAUAAAAAUUAUUCUUACCCCAGCUUUUAGUAAAUUCCAUGUAUAAUCUAUGGCACAAAUGGCACCUGUUCUUCCACAGCCUGCACUGUAAAGUUUGAAAGAAAAAUUUGAUUUUUGUUAUAAAAGAAUUAUAAACUAAAUGUGGAUGAACAUGUUAGUUUUCAGAAGCAAAAAAAAUCAUUUAGAAAUAUGACAAAAUUCUACCAUUUUAGUAAACAGAUUACAACUUAACAUCUUUAACAUCAGCAUUUAUACCUGGUUUUUAUUAAAUUUGGGUAACUUCCAAGAUUCAAAAAUUACCUAUGUGAUUCACAGAUGACCCAGCAGCCUUCAUUUUGUAAGUCUAAUUCUAACUCAGAAAAUCUUGUCUAGCUAACAUAAUAACUCACAGAGAUCAUUUUAUUUUAUGUACAACAUGGUUCUGAUGCCUUACAGUAGAGGAAGAAACAACACAUCAUUUCAAUCUGCAAAAGGUAUAGGAAAGACGAAGAAUACAAGCCCUAGAAACUGGUUUGAACUCCAGCAGUGAUUUCAACAAAAGAACAAAGUGACCAAAAUAACAAAAGACCAGUGAUGUACUUUCAUCUUCUAAGAAACUAACAGAACCUGGAGAACAUAAGUAAAAUUCUGCAGGUUUUUACAUUUUAAAACAUGACAAGAGUACUUUACAGCAAUUGAUUCUCAACUAGAGGGAGACAGGAGACAUGCAUCUUAGGACUGAGAAUCACUCUGAGUAAUUAAAGACAUUACUAACAUCACCAGAAUCAUUUUUAGGCAGGAAAAAAGUUAGGCAGCAUUUAAAUUUUGAAACCUUUAGAAAUAUCAGUAGUUUGUCAAACAUGUCAUGUGAGAAUUCCUGAUAAAGUAAAUUUAUAAACAACUUAGUAUGAUUUUUAAAAAGCUCUUAAAAGACAUCAAUAAUACUAAUUUUUAACUAUUGAUAUAUUUAUCAAUUCUUCAUAGCAAAAUAUUUCUAGAAUUUUAAGUUAAGAAUUACUAGGGGCUAAAUGACAUAUAUUUAAAACUUUAUGGUUUAGGGGCGCCUGGGUGGCUCAGUCGGUUAAGCAGCCGACUUCGGCUCAGGUCAUGAUCUCGCGGUCCGUGAGUUCAAGCCCCGCGUCGGGCUCUGUGUCUCCCUCUCUCUGACCCUCCCCUGUUCAUGCUCUGUCUC